ensembl:lncRNA
CCUGUGCUGGGUAGGAGGAAAUGAUGUGAACAAAACAAAGCAAUGUGCUGCUGAGGUCAAGAUGCUCACAGGGCCAAGACUUUUAAAGGUCGCAUUCCGCAGUGGACCAGAACUCUCAGGCUGGAAGCAGGGGGAGGUUGUGAGUCCCAGAGGAGAAACAGGAUGGCGGUGGCUCCUCCUACCUCAGGGGUUUGGAAAUCUGGCCUGGGCAGUUUGUGGCACCCUGGUUGUGUGAGCUGAGAGCCUGGCUGGAACCGAGAUAGACCCAUGACCGUCCACAGCUGCCCCAACAGUGAGACGGGUCUGCUCCUGCUAUCUUCCCUACAGUCGCUGAAGUCACAAGCUAGGAGCCAGUUUUCCCUCAGUAGGCCAGGGUCCUCGGGGGAUGUAUGAGGAGAUGGUGUACACUGGAAGCCUGUGGAGUCACGGCUGGGGAAAGACAGGCUGGACACUUGGGCCUCCGAGACACCCCUGGCUGGGUUCGCCUUUCAGAGUUUGAGCCAAGCCUGGAAUCACUCCAAGGACAAAGGAGACACAUCUACCAACGUCUGCCCAAAUCCCCUUGGCCACGGGAGCCCAGGACCAGCCAUAAGUGGGCAGGAGCCAGGGGCCGUGCGGGGAAUGGGGCUGUGGCAGAGGCCUUGGGACACGCAUGGGUCAGCGGAGGCCCUUGAAGUCCUGGGCGGGCAGGUUCCUCAAAAGCAAAAUCACUUGAAACAGGUUGUGCGGGACAGCUGUGUGGCCAGCCCCUGAGCACAAGAGGCUCCCGCAACAGAAACCGCUGGCCAGCAAGGCAGCUGCUGGCUGGAGACGCACAGAGACGGCUGAGGGCAAGGAGCCGAAGGGCGAGGACGAGGGGGUGCCCCUGGUGACCCCACCCUGAGCUCAGCCGCUCCAUCUGGGCUCUAAUCCCCUCUUUUGCUUUCAGCUCAUGCUUCUUCCCCAGUGAAGGGAGGCUGGGAGGUUCUGUUGUGGCCCUAGGAGCUGCCAACGGCAGUAGAAGGCAGGGCCUUGGCAGGCAGCCUCGCCUCUGUGGGAGCAGGCGGCGCUGAUUGCUCUAAGCUGCCAGCCACUGCCGGUACUUCCCAGCCCGCUGGCCUUGCCUCCUGUGUGGUGGACUCUGUGGGAGGGGACGGAGGGGUGGAGCGGGAGGAGGAGACCCAGCCGGGCCUUGAAGAGGAGCCAGGAGCUAAGAACUUGACCUAGAAUCCCAGGAUGAAGGACAAGUCCAGCCCCCUCCAGGAUUCAGGGUCUCACCAAGGGGAAUGAGGGGCCCAAGGUUCACCCAGUUGGGUUCUGGUGGAGCCAGGAAGAGAAGGGAGGCCCUGGAGAAGGGCCCUGGUGGAGCAUGUACUGUGUCUGUCUUUCCUUUUCCCUACAAAUCUUAGGGACUUUCCUGGGGUCAGGGCCGCUGUGUACAGCAUGCAGGUGUGGGCUGAGGCGUGGGGGUCAGGCUGUGUCCAUCUGGAUGAUGAGUUGCCUUUUUCCAAAUCACAGCAAGGCCCUGUGCAGGUCUGUACCUGGUGUUGCCAGGCCAGCCUCAGGGGGCAGCUCAUCAGAAACCAGCCCUGCGCACUGGGGAGGCUUUGGGCCUGGGGUGCCCUUUCUCAGAGGAGGGGUCACAGGGAUGAAGGCUCAGCCUGGAGGGGACCCGCAGGUCUGCAGGGUGCCCUGAGCCACUGGCUGGGAAAGCCUAGGCCUCCUUCCCUCCCCAGGCUGUUUGCUUCCACACCCUUCCCUGCCUGAGGACUCACUUCUGUCACUUCUGUUCACCUCAGGAACCAAUCACGUUUCAUCCUGAGUGGAAUGAGGCUGUGGAAGUCAAGGCCAUAACUCAGUGUGGCACCUGCAUUUGACCUGAAAAAAUAUAGACCGUGAGGGUAAAUGACUUGUCAAAUGAGUACGUUGGGGCAGGACCAAUUACUGAAUUUCAUACCUGCCCUAACAUAAUUCACAAGGAUUUUAGAUUUCCAGAAAGGAACCUCAAAGCCCUUUUCAUGGCCACCGUGGUGACUCACGCCUGUAUUCCCAGCACUUGGGGAGUCAGAGGCAGGUAAAUCGCUUGAGGUCAGGAGUUCGAGACCAUCCUGGCCAACAUGGUGAAAUCCUGUCUCUACUAAAAAUGCAAAAAUUAGCCAGGCGUGCUGGUGGGUGCCUGUAAUCCCAGCUACUCAGGAGGUUGAGGCAGGAGAAUCGCUUGAACCCGGGAGGCGGAGGUUGCAAUGAGCUGAGAUGGGCCACUGCACUCCAGCCUGGGCAACAGAACCAGACUCCAUUUCAAAAAAAAAAAAAAA